rnacentral:tRNA from 1 species
GGAUGUAGCUCAGUCGGUAGAAUGCUUGCCUCACAUGCAUAAGGUCUUUGGUUCAAUCCCCAACAUCGCA